CGCCCGGGGAUCCCUGAUCCAGCCCCUGGAUGAGCCCUCAAUAUUUUCCUUAUAUGAUCGGGCCUUUUUGUAGGCGGCGCCGCCUGCCCGGAGCCUGAGAGGAUUAUGAAAAUUGCCGGGUGAUGUGGGGCCAGGGGACCGGGCG
rnacentral:snoRNA from 1 species